rnacentral:rRNA from 1 species
GUGUCAGCAGCCGCGGUAACACGGGGGGAGCAAGCGUUGUUCGGAAUCACUGGGCGUAAAGGGCGUGUAGGCGGUUGAGUGAGUGGAAUGUGAAAUGCCCAGGCUCACCCUGGGACCUGCAUUCCAUACUGCUCAGCUCGAGUAUGGGAGAGGAUGAGGGAAUUCCUGGUGUAGCGGUGAAAUGCGUAGAUAUCAGGAGGAACACCGGUGGCGAAAGCGCUCAUCUGGCCCAAUACUGACGCUGAGGCGCGAAAGCUAGGGGAGCAAACGGGAUUAGAAACCCCAGUAGUCC